rnacentral:lncRNA from 1 species
GUGCUGGGAUUACAGGCAUGAGCCACCGCUCCCGGCCCGGCAGGCCCCCUAGAAGAUGCCAAUCAAAAUAAACUGCAUUCUUGAGACACAGGGCAAGAAAUUAAAGCUAUCCACCUCCUCAAGGCCCAGGGACUACGUGGAAGAGACAUCGAGUCAUGAAUAUGGAAUGACUUCACCUGACUUCACUUGAAAUUCACUUAAUUUUCAACUCUGUUGGCUAUGAGAAAAGGACAUCCAGGCCUCACACAAAAAUGGAUCAAUGAAUUGAAACUCACCAAAUCACCACCACCAGACAACGGGAUGCUGAGUCUCAUUCAUCAUGAUUGCUUCCUGAAGCCUUCUGAGUUCCUGUUUCCCUACACAUUGUUACAUUUCUUCCCUGCAACAUAAACCCCCAAUUUUAGUCCAUCAAGGUUAUAGAUUUGAGACUGAUCUCCCAUUUCCUUGGCUGCAACACCCAAUUAUAGCCUUCUUGGCAAUAAUUGUUGUCUCAGUGAUUGGCUUUCUUUGUGGCCAGCAGCAGGACCUAGACUGAACACCUGAUUUUCUGGUAACAGUAUAAUUUUUCUUCUUUUGUCUAUUGUGGUAGGUUACAUUGUUUGAUUUUUAAAUUAAACUGGCACUGCAUAGCUAGAGUAAAUGUGACUUUGUUGUGUUAAUUUUUAUAUGUUGUUGAAUUUGAUUUUCUUGUGUUAUGUUGAGAAUUUUACAUAUAUCUUUAUAAGAGAUAUUUGCUCGUAAUUAUCUUUUUGUAAAAUAUCUCUGUUUUUGCUAUGAAGGUUAUAAAAGUAAUUUUGGGAGUGCUCCCUAUUUUCUAUUAGAGAAUGAGGGAACUGGUACCAAUACUACCUUAAAUGUUCAAUAGAAUUCACAUUCGAAAUUAUCUAGGACUGGUUAUCUUUUGAGAAAAGUUGUUAAACAUUAUUCAGUGUCUUUAAUAGAUAUAGGCCUGUUCAGUUUAUCUAUUUCUCCCCAUGUGAUCAAUGGAAAUUUGUGUCUUUCACGUGAUUUUUCUAUUUCUUCUAAGUCAUCAACUUGUUGAUAUAAAGUUAUUCACAAUAUUCUUAUCCCUUCAAUGUUCAAAGAUUGUUAUUAAUAUUCAUGAAACUGGUAGUACUGAUCUUGCUUUCUUUUUUGAUAUUGUAUUGCACAUCUUUUCUCUUUUCAUGUUCAU